rnacentral:rRNA from 1 species
CGCGUAGACGGUUUUGUAAGUCAGAUGUGAAAUCCCCGGGCUCAACCUGGGAACUGCAUUUGAAACUGCAUGGCUAGAGUAUGGUAGAGGGAAGUGGAAUUUCCGGUGUAGCGGUGAAAUGCGUAGAUAUCGGAAGGAACACCAGUGGCGAAAGCGACUUCCUGGGCCAAUACUGACGUUCAUGUGCGAAAGCGUGGGGAGCAAACAGGAUUAGAUACCCUGGUAGUCCACGCCAUAAACGAUGACAACUAGAUGUUGGGAGGGUCUGCCUCCCGGUGUCGCAGCUAACGCGUUAAGUUGCCCGCCUGGGGAGUACGGCCGCAAGGUUGAA